rnacentral:lncRNA from 1 species
AUGAGCAAAGGAGAAGAAAGUAGCUGCAGACACACAAUCAACGAUCAUCUGCCGGAGCUGAUGAAUAUGCCAAGACUGCUAAGUGGGUCCUCAUUAGCUAUUCACAUGCUAAGAGCCAUCUUUAUUUGUUCUUCUCUCCUAGGUGGAUCUAUAUUUGAAUAUCUUUACUAUAUCCACCCAGGGGGUGGAUGGAGGAUUACCACCACUGUCAGGAAUUCAGAGGGGAGUUGGGAAUUGAGAAAUAGGCUCAAGUCAAUUCUCUGGUGCCAGGGGCAGAACUGAGGACACAUCCUGCACAUUUUCUGACCUCGGGAAUGGAGUGGGUAAACCCCAAAAAUGUAUUUUGGGCCGUGUUAUGGGCGAACCCCAAAAGUGCAUGGCUAUGGCAGCACCGAUGCUUGUGUGUCCCUGUGGCAGCUCCUCUGCCCUCAUGCGAGGAAGAAUCAGGUACACAAAGACAAGAUGGGGGUGAAAUAUUGGGGAAAAAUACUUCACUUUUGCUCCUGUCCUGGAGCAGGGGGUGGUGACAAAGGCAGUUGUAAUUCACUCCCUGUACCCAUGUCCCAGGGAGUCAAAUGAGCCCCCCAAAUCGCGUAGGGAGGCACAAAAUAAAGCUGCAUUUUCUCCUCCUUUUCUUCUACA